rnacentral:rRNA from 1 species
CGCAGCCGCGGUAAUUCCAGCUCCAAUAGCGUAUAUUAAAGUUGUUGCAGUUAAAAAGCUCGUAGUUGAAUUUCGAGAUCAAAUUGUUGGUCGUGCCUCGGUACGUACUGGCAUUAUUGAUUUCUCCCUUCUGAAGAACCACGAUGUCAUUAAUUUGGUGUCGUGGGGAAUCAGGACUGUUACUUUGAAAAAAUUAGAGUGUUUAAAGCAGGCUCACGCUUGAAUACAUUAGCAUGGAAUAAUGAAAUAGGACGUUUGAUUCUAUUUUGUUGGUUUCUAGGAUCGACGUAAUGAUUAAUAGGGAUAGUUGGGGGCAUUAGUAUUCAAUUGUCAGAGGUGAAAUUCUUGGAUUUAUUGAAGACUAACUACUGCGAAAGCAUUUGCCAAGGAUGUUUUCAUUAAUCAAGAACGAAGUUAGGGAUCGAAGACGAUCAGAUACCG